rnacentral:rRNA from 1 species
GUGCUGGAAGGUUAAAAGGAGGACUUAGCUUCGGCGAAGGUCUUAAUUGAAGCCCCAGUGAACGGCGGCCGUAACUAUAACGGUCCUAAGGUAGCGAAAUUCCUUGUCGGGUAAGUUCCGACCCGCAUGAAAGGCGUAAUGAUUUGGGCGCUGUCUCAACAAUAGACUCGGUGAAAUUUAAAUUCCAGUGAAGAUGCUGGGUACCCGCGACAGGACGGAAAGACCCCGUGGAGCUUUACUGUAGCUUGAUAUUGAAUGUUUGUGCUGCAUGUGCAGGAUAGGUAGGAGACUUUGAAGUCGGAACGCUAGUUUCGAUUGAGUCACCCUUGAGAUACUACCCCUGUUGUAUGAACGUUCUAACUCUGAUCAGUUAUCCUGAUCGAAGACAGUGUCUGGCAGGCAGUUUGACUGGGGCGGUCGCCUCCUAAAAGAUAACGGAGGCGCUCAAAGGUUUGCUCAGAAUGGUUGGAAAUCAUUCGUAGCGUGUAAAGGCAUAAGCAAGCUUGACUGUGAGACUGACAAGUCGAGCAGGUACGAAAGUAGGACUUAGUGAUCCGGUGGUUCCGUAUGGAAGGGCCAUCGCUCAACGGACAAAAGCUACCCCGGGGAUAACAGGCUCAUCUCCCCCAAGAGUCCACAUCGACGGGGAGGUUUGGCACCUCGAUGUCGGCUCAUCGCAUCCUGGGGCUGUAGUCGGUCCCAAGGGUUGGGCUGUUCGCCCAUUAAAGCGGUACGCGAGCUGGGUUCAGAACGUCGUGAGACAGUUCGGUCCCUAUCCGUCGUGGGCGCAGGAAAUUUGAGAGGAUCUGUCCUUAGUACGAGAGGACCGGGAUGGACAUACCUCUGGUGUACCAGUUGUUCUGCCAAGAGCACCGCUGGGUAGCUACGUAUGGAUUAGAUAAUCGCUGAAAGCAUCUAAGUGAGAAACUAACCUCGAGAUGAGAUUUCCCAUUCGUCAGAAGUAAGACCCCUGAGAGACGAUCAGGUAGAUAGGCUAGAAGUGGAAGUGUAGUGAUGCAUGGAGCGGACUAGUACUAAUAGGUCGAGGACUUAACCAAG